rnacentral:rRNA from 8 species
AAAUUGAAGAGUUUGAUCAUGGCUCAGAUUGAACGCUGGCGGCAGGCCUAACACAUGCAAGUCGAACGGUAACAGGAAGCAGCUUGCUGCUUUGCUGACGAGUGGCGGACGGGUGAGUAAUGUCUGGGAAACUGCCUGAUGGAGGGGGAUAACUACUGGAAACGGUGGCUAAUACCGCAUAACGUCGCAAGACCAAAGAGGGGGACCUUCGGGC